rnacentral:lncRNA from 1 species
GCUCCUGAGAUGAUUGAAAAGGUUCUCACAUCCGAACAGGACCAAUCGGCCAAGAGGAAUGCAUUUCUGAUGCUGUUCAAUUGUGCCCAGGAUCGUGCAAUUAAUUACCUUUUGACUCAUGUUGACAGGGUACCAGACUGGGGAGAGUUGCUUCAGAUGGUAGUCCUGGAGUUGGUCAGGAAAGUCUGUAGAACGAACAAGGCAGAGAAAGGGAAGUACAUUAAGAUUAUUAUCUCUCUGCUAAAUGCCCCUUCUGCUGCUGUUAUUUAUGAAUGUGCUGGAACUCUUGUUUCUUUGUCUUCUGCUCCUACGGCUAUCAGGGCUGCUGCCAAUACCUACUGCCAGCUUCUUCUGUCUCAGAGUGACAACAACGUCAAACUUAUUGUGCUUGAUCGUCUGAAUGAACUCAAAUCAUCUCACAGGGACAUUAUGUUUGAUUUGAUAAUGGAUGUUCUUAGGGCACUUUCAAGCCCGAACCUUGACAUUCGGAGGAAAACACUUGAUAUAGUUCUUGAUUUGAUCACGCCACGAAAUGUCAAUGAGGUUGUUCUCACUCUUAAGAAAGAAGUUGUGAAAACUCAAAGUGGGGAGCUGGAGAAGAAUGGGGAGUACCGUCAAAUGCUCAUUCAAGCCAUUCAUUCCUGUGCUAUAAAAUUCCCAGAAGUUGCAAGCACUGUGGUCCACCUAUUGAUGGAUUUCUUGGGUGACAGCAACGUUGCUUCUGCAAUGGACGUGGUUGUUUUCGUGCGAGAAAUUAUUGAAACAAACCCAAAAUUAAGGGUUUCCAUAGUCACCAGGCUGCUUGACACGUUCUACCAGAUUCGAGCUGCACGGGUUUGUUCUUGUGCUCUUUGGAUUAUUGGAGAAUACUGCUUGUCCCUUUCCGAAGUCGAGAGCGGCAUUGCAACCAUUAAGCAGUGUCUUGGGGACUUACCCUUUUACUCUAUUUCUGAAGAAGGGGAUGCUGCUGAUCCAGCAAAGAAAUCUCAGCAGGUAACUUCCAUCACCGUUUCAUCCAGACGACCAGCUAUCCUUGCUGAUGGGACGUAUGCCACUCAAAGUGCUGCUUCUGAAACUGCUUUCUCCCCUCCAACUGUUGUCCAAGGAUCAUUAACUACUGGAAAUCUGAGAUCUCUCCUCCUCACCGGUGAUUUUUUCCUUGGGGCUGUGAUUGCCUGCACACUGACAAAGCUCGUGCUGAGACUGGAAGAGGUUCAGCCUUCCAGGGUUGAAGUCAAUAAAGCAUCUACAAAUGUACUGUUGAUCAUGGUUUCAAUGCUACAGCUAGGGCAGUCUUCGGUUCUUCCUCAUCCAAUUGAUAAUGAUUCUUAUGAUAGGAUAGUUCUUUGCAUAAGACUGCUGUGUAACACGGGGGAUGAGGUCAGGAAGAUAUGGUUGAAGUCUUGCCGUGAGAGUUUUGUUAAGAUGCUUUCUGAUAAACAGCUACGCGAAACAGAGGAAAUUAAAGCAAAAGCUCAGAUUUCCCAUUCACAGCCAGAUGAUCUGAUUGACUUCUACCACUUGAAGAGUAGAAGGGUAAGCAUUUUGCAUUUGAUUCUAAUUGUGCUUUUGAAGAAUGCAAUUAGUUCAAUUGCUUUGCUAUCUUCAUCAGAUUUUGUCUCAAUUUUGAUCACUUUAUAGUUGUAUACAGGGUUAGGUGAUCUUGUUAUACCUUUAGUAGAUUCUUGAUGAGAAAGUAUUGCCUAUUUUCACCCUUUUCUUUGUUAAGCCAAGUUUGCCCUAAUGUCAAAUAUUUGUGGCUUAAGACUGCCCUUGGGAUUAGAGUGUGAUGAUGUUAUGGAUGGGAUUGCUGGUUUAGUUGAUUGGUCAAACUAAGCAACAUUUUGAUUUUGGAUCUAUCCUGUCUAAAUUUCAGGGUAAUGUAUUGUUAUUGUGCAGAAGUUAUAUUUUCAAUUCCUUAAACAUCAUCAUGGGAAUUGAACUUAAUACUUGCUGGAACUAUGGUGCAUCUUUUUUUAACAAUUUGAGGGAUCUUUCUUAAGUAAGAAGUCACCUGUUUAUGUGUAGCUUUCUUGGGUUCUGAAGGGCAACUUUCAUCGUUUUGGUGGGUAGUUUUAAUUACUUUCAGGGAAUGCAUUUUGGAAGAUUACUUGGUGUUUGCUCCCUCAUUGGUUUCUCUUUUCCAACAUAAGUUUUGAAGGUACAUUAGAGCUCCCUUAGUAGGGAUUGAAGUGUAUUUUGACACUGUUAGCCAUAUUUCAGGGCAUGAGCCAGCUGGAGUUGGAAGAUGAGGUCCAAGAUGAUCUAAAACGUGCCACAGGGGAAUUCAUUAAGGAUGGAGAUGAUGCAAACAGGCUUAACCGUAUUCUUCAGCUUACGGGUUUUAGUGAUCCUGUGUAUGCUGAAGCAUAUGUGACAGUUCACCACUAUGAUAUCGUCCUGGAUGUUACAGUCAUUAAUAGAACUAAGGAGACUCUGCAGAAUUUGUGUUUGGAGUUGGCAACAAUGGGAGAUCUUAAACUAGUUGAGCGGCCACAGAACUACACUCUGGCUCCUGAAUCAAGCAAGCAGAUCAAAGCAAAUAUUAAGGUGUCCUCCACUGAGACGGGUGUCAUAUUUGGGAACAUAGUCUAUGAGACUUCAAAUGUGCUUGAACGAACUGUUGUUGUCCUCAAUGACAUACACAUUGACAUCAUGGACUACAUCUCUCCUGCAGUGUGCAGUGAUGCUGCUUUCAGAACUAUGUGGGCAGAAUUUGAAUGGGAGAACAAGGUAUCUUCAUAUUCACAAGGAUUUUUUUUUUUUACACUUAUUCCUAGCUUUGUUGUUGAAUUAUAUUUGUUAUAUCCCUAGUUUUUCGUGCUGUUGCAUUACCUAAAAAUGUCUCAAGGUGAAUUAGUUAAGAAUGUUAGAAAGGGUGACGAAGUGACAAUAAUUGAAGAUUGCUUGAGUUGUCUGCUAUAUGGAACUGGAGUAUUGUAAUUUAUACAUGCUAAGGCAUUUUGUUGUUUUGGGUAUUGCAAGGUGGUGGUUUUCUCCAAAAUCAUUUUGCUUUUCAACCUAGAGCAAGGAUGAGUAACAAAGUUAGGAAUUCUACUAGCAAUUUGUCAACCACUUUUACAUUUUCAACUAGCAAUUGGUCAACCACUUUGACAAUUUCAAAUCACAAAGAAGAAUAUUCAUAAAUAUCCCAACAACACACUCUCUAUUCUCUAUUUGUUGAAUACAUGCCACAAACUGGAUGACUCUCAACAGAAGUUUACCGGUAAACCCUGUGUAUUUUUUCUCAAGUGUUUACACGAUUAUCUCUGACAAAGUGUUGUCUGUGGCAGGUUGCUGUAAAUACUGUUAUUGAAGAUGAGAAGGAAUUCCUUGACCAUAUUAUUAAGUCAACCAACAUGAAAUGCCUGACUGCACAGUGAGUUUCAGUCACUCCAAUACAUGAUUUUUUUGAUAAAGCUAUUGUGGGUUGAGAUUUGGCAUGUGUGAGGACAAUGGUCAAUCCCUGUGAUGUGCCCACUGUCCCUGCAUUUUGUAGUUGGUUCUUUUGUCAUUCUUCAUGAAGAUGAUGUACUUUGCUUGUCUAAUCAUCAUGCACAGAAUAAAUCACCAGAGCCUUCGUCUUGCUUGUAUCUUACUGUGUGAUGACAUAGUUCAAUUUUGUUGUAAUUUGUAAAACAGCUUUUGGAAUUGGUUGAUCUACAUCAAUCCUAUGAUGUCACUGCCUUAUUAUGAAUUUUGGAUGCUUCUUUCAGGUCAGCUUUGGAAGGUGAGUGUGGAUUCCUUGCCGCUAACCUUUAUGCAAAGAGUGUGUUUGGAGAGGACGCUUUGGUGAAUGUCAGCAUUGAGAAACAGGCAGAUGGUAAGUUGAGUGGUUAUAUUAGAAUAAGAAGCAAGACUCAAGGAAUUGCUCUCAGCCUGGGGGACAAAAUCACUCUUAAGCAGAAGGGAGGUAGCUGAAUUCUGGAUGCACUGUUAGUCUUAGUGCCGUAAUAGUGGUAUGUAACUAUCUGUGGCCAGCCCCCCCCCCCCCCCUCCUCCUCCUCCAGCACAAAAAAAAAAAAAAAAAUUCCCUUCUUUCCCUCUUUUCCCUCUCCCCUUCCAGUCCCCCUUUUAGUAUUUCUUUAUGAAUGUUAGUGCAUCUUCUUUUUUUCAGUUUUUUGUAGUGUGUUCCUUGGAGAAUAUGAAGGGGAAAGAGUAGAACUGUUCUGUGUCAUUUCAUGUUGGCAAGGAGUGCCUUGAAACCAUAAUGAAAAAGUCAUGGGAUUAUCUUUUAAUUUGUGGCUGUACAAUCUUCAGGUUCACAAGUUUGGAUGAAAUCAUUGGGGCUCUUUCAACACAUUUCCUGGCUGCUGCAAAGAGUUAACGCAGAAUAUCAGUGUCAGUGUUCUUGCAUUGAGUCCUUCAAAUGCUCGACACUGUAUUAGAUUGCAUCUAUUUUUGUAGAGAAUAUAUUGGAGAGAAGAAAGAAUGGCGGACUUUGCUACCUUGACUCAUUUAGAGAAUUCAUUGUCAAUUUUCUUUUUAUGCUUUGAGAUCGGAUUGGAUUCAGGAAUUCUUAUAUUUUUCCCCUUCUUUUUUUACUUAAAUUGUAUUUUUUGUCUUUUGGGGGGGAAUGAAUUUGUUACUUUUGUUAUGAAUGCCAUGGUACGAUACAUCUCUAUUUCCAUACGGAGCAAAACUUUGUCAGAAACAAGAAGUAAAAUGUUUCUUAUUGCUUAAAAAAGUGGCCUGUUUGUGUGGUCGAAUUAGGCCUGCAAUCAAAGGUCUAAUUGUCAGACUUUAGUCUUGCGCCUUCUGUUUUGGUUUUCAGCUUGUGUUAAAAUUACCACAGCACGCUGAUGAACGUCAAUCAAUGAUCAACAACAAGGUACAAUCAAGUUUUUCUAUAAUUAUAAGCCCACAGUAUCCUGUAGUAUUCAUGGCAAAUGUAGAUCGAGCAACACGGCACGCCAGAAGAGCAUUUUACUGAUCUAUCCUUUAUAAAGCAAUUAAACUCCUUAGAUGUUUCUGUGCACAUACUAAAUUAACAGCGUCUACGUGACCAAAAAUGAAAUACGCUUUCCCUGUUAAAUCUGACAUGAAUGCUGCUUAUUGUCGGCUGGGGACCUAUGGCUUUGUUUACAACACUUUUAGCCGUACGAUGUCCCUUCUAAUUAGUAGGAAAAGCACGAGGAGAGUGUUACUGUUUUGGUUCUCUUUAUGCAGACAGGAAAAGCUUCAAAAAUGAAAAAAUAACCCCCAUCACAUACAACAUUCCAUUUGCUGAUCUCAUUGCCUUCCCUUCCCUUCCCAUACAAAAGAAUUGAAAAUGGCGGACAACGUAAGAUCAACCGCAGAAGAUAAAUAUGCAGUGGUCACAGAACAAAAUUAUGCCUCGCAUUACAACCAUUCAGUUAUCCACAUUAACUUACAGACGGUGUUCCCUGUCUCUUAAGUCCAUGAAUUAUGACCUGCCAAACCAGAUCAUGUUAUGCUAACAAUUUAUAACAACUACUUGCGGUACAGUACAGCGGCGUAUCAAGUACUUCUUUGAUGACAUUAAUAAAAUGUAGCUUUUGUAAGGUGCAUCAGACUCUAAUAUACUCUUUAGAUGUCAGAUUUAUUGUAAUGCAGGAGAUAAAGCUCCAGUCUUCUGGCUUUCCAUUCCAGUUAUGCAAUUAACAAGAAAGAAAGACCUUAUGCAGUACAUCCUUUGCCAUAUUUCUCACAUCCUGCCCUUGAUCCCAACCAGAAGUUCCACCACCUUGACUCUUGGAGUCGAAUAAAACAGCUCACUGAUAAUGCUUGUCAACAGCAUGAGAGAGAUAAAGCGCAUGACCUAUGGGGCCAUUAUGACAGGUUCAUCCACUAGAAAGAAGUUUCUGCUCAUCCAAAAUUUUUCCUUCCUGAGUUCCCCCAUCCAAGCAGAUAUGAGAAUUCAGCCAUUGCCACAUUGCAACUCCUAUCACUUUGCAAGCAGUAAUCUAAACUGCUGGCAUCAUAAAGCCUUCCCCAUCCAUCCUGAAUGCAACUGCACACCCAUCGCAGAAAACACAAAUUUCAGCAACAAUCAUCCCCCUCCCCUGGCCCCUUUUAUCAUCCAGAAUAGCAGCAAAAGAAUCAACCAGUUGUAUGCUUUUAGGAAAUAACAGCAAUUCAAUUCUUAUAAUAUUCUGAAGCUUGAGAUAUCAAAUUUGGUUUGUUCUUUUGGAACAGUUUACUCAAAGUUAUUCCAUAAAUUGUAGGAAAACGACUUAUAACUUCACAUACACUUCAUGACCCUAUGAAUGGGAGAGUCCGAGAAGUUUCAAUAGCAAGAAAUUGAAAUAAGAGGAUCUUGAAAUUCAAAUACCCAAACAACAAAAAAGCCUCUAAUUUCAUGUCUACAUGGAAGUUCCUGAACAGGAUACCCCCGGUUCAUGCAUCCAGUUCACCCGUUUUUGCCAAAAGAAUGUCUGAAAAUGAGGUCCAAUAACAAGUAAUCAGCUUGAAUUCAAGCCUUGGUAUCCCUCAUCCCUACCCAUUGCGACAGGUGCUAAAAUACACAGCAGAGCCAAACUAAAAGGUUUGGCUGAACAAAACUAAGUGUGGCGAACUCCAUACAGAAUGCAGCAUGAAGUGACGUACAAACUCUGGAACUCAUCUCUAUAUAAUUACCUAAUGCUGAAAAGAAAAAAUCAUAUUUGAAAACAAAUAUGCUUAAACUCAACCACAGCAACUGAAGCACGUGUGUUACAUUUUAAGAUCCCAACUUCAUGAUUUUGCCAAGUCUACAAAAGGAAGACUCACAUUGUUGUCCUCUUCUAGGUUAAGAGGUAUCCUAUCAUCAGCCACUCAACGAUCUACCAAUGGCAGCUUUCAGUCGAUCACACGUGCUUUGCAUCUUAUGCCUUUCUUCUAUAGUCGUGUUAGUUUCCUCUGACUGCAACCACAAUUAAAAUAACUUAUUUCCCAGAUACUACAAGAUUAUAAAGUAUCAGUAAAUCUUGUUGGCUUUGUACAUUCUUGAACUAGUAUACCCUUCAUAAAGUAAAUUUUAGAAAAGUAAACUUGUACUGGGUAAGCAAAGCAUACAGAGAACAGAAAACUAAAACGUUUCUUGGGGCCAAUUCUUUUUUUCGCACCCAAAAUUUAGCAAGGAAAGCAAAGUUGCUUGAAAGGGGAACAGAAACGGACACACAAAUUAUUAGAAUCAAGAUGAUACCUGAACUUUGAGCACCAUCUCCAACAUGCUCUCAAUCUGUGACUUGUGUGGCAAAAGAAUUUGGUGCAUCUUAACAUCUCCAUGCAUUAGUAGUAACACAGUAACAAUAACAUUCGACCUACUUGAUUGGCUGAUUUUGGAUGUACUAUGAUGAGGGGACAAUAAUAAAGAGGUAUUGUCUGUUAUCAGUGAUCUCAUUGAAGUUAAAAAAAGAUCUAACAGUUUGGUACUCCUAUCAAACAGGAAAAAACAAGGUAGGAGAUAGUAGUGGCUCUUGUUUGUGCUCAAGUAGACUUUGGAUUCACCAUCAUGCUGCUUACUCUGCAUAAGUAAACCAAAACAGAAGAUAUCAGAGAACUCAGACCAUAACUGAAGGGUGCAUAUUAAGAAAAUUCAAACAUGAGAAUCCAAAAAGAAAAAAAAAAGAUUGUUAUAGUUUCUGAACAUAAUCAUAGCCCAACAUGUUUGAAUUUGGCCUCAAUGUAGCUUAGAAGUCUUAGAUGCUAUGGCUAGGGAUAAGAUUUAACUACUACAUGCAGUAGUGAUCUUGUUGCAACUGAUUCAGUGAAGAGUUUAACUGAGUGUUUACUGUUCUGUGUGUGUAAGACUCAGCUUAAUUGACAUAUACAAUAUCAUCUGCUUUCUAAUACCUUAAGCUUUUGGACGAGGUGAUGCUUCAACAUGCUGGAAAAUGAGACAAAGAUCCAGGCCCAAUUUUACAUACCACCCAUUAUGAUAUAUGCAUGUGCGCAUUCACCAAAAACCCCAGUCGAGUUUUGAGUUUAGUUUAAGAGUUGAACUAAGAACAACCAUGGAAAGAACACAUGACGCUGAUCGUAUCAUAUGUGGCCAACGUCAUGUAGAACCAAGAAUUAUCCCUGUUUGCACUGAUUAAUCAUGUUUAAUAUGGAUGAUGUUUGUUAAAUUACAGCUUAUGUAUGUAAUGCAUUUCAUGUAUCAUUACACUAUAACUUGUGUGACAAAUAAAAUAAGUUGGAAUUCUGUGUGUAUUCUAUUUCAUGCAUAAUAAGAGAUGAUUCUAAUUAACUUAGUCAUGCAUAAUAACUAAGGAAGUUGUCUCUCUUCAGUAAGUAUUUAACCAACGUCUUCCAGCAGAUUAUCCAGGGAAGCACUCCAAAGAAGUCUGAAAUUCAGUAAGAUAGACUGUCUGUUUUGAAGGUUUGACAAGCACAAGAAUUAACAAACAAGAAUGUUUUACAAAGGACGAAUUAAACAUCUUCAGGUACUCAUAAACAGCGAAGAACUGAAAAGUUUUCUUAUAAAACAAUCAAGAACAAGAAUCAAAAACAGAAUAUCACUUACAGAUGCAACAUUUAUCAAGUAUUUACAGAGGACAUUGCUUAAUUUGAUAACACUCCGUUCAGAGAACCUUGUGGGUUUGGUGUCCAAGGUGACGAACACCCUGAGAAAUGCACAGAUGUUGUCUAAUGGCAGUUUCAGUGACUGAAAAAAGGGAGCAAAAAAAUCAAUGACAGUUGUAUAGAUCAACUAAGUUUCACAAAAAAUGCCAGAGAAUAAUAAGAACAGCUGAGCUUAAACCAAAGUAAUUAAACAAAUGCAAGUUAAAAGAUGAGACAUACAGAGAAUCAAAUUCAUCAUAUAAAAUUUAGCCAGAUUACCAUCUCAUCAAGAAUUUUAUUUUCCAAAGUUUGGAGAACAAGAUGGUCAUCCCCAAUUUGAGAUAGACAAGAGCAAAUAACUCUGGUAAUUGUUCUAAAGGUAGCUUGAUUUGAGAUUCCUUCAUAUCCCAGAGAGGAACAGUUUUCUGUAAAGGGAACACAAGUUUCAGCUAUCAAGUAAGACAAACAAGAGAUUAGUCAGCAUUGACCUUGAACUAUUGACAAUAACAUCCUAAAAAGAACCUAUGUAAAACACACAAAAAAAAAAAAAAGCAGAGGCACACUAAAGAAUUUUACGAAACCCUACUUCAGGAAAAAAGGGAAAAAACAGAGAGAGAGAAAGAGAGAGACUUCAAGAAGAUAGUGGAAACAAAAAGGGCCUACUCUCCCAUCCCAAGAAACAUUACUAAAGAAAGUAGAAUUCUUUUCCAACCUUUAAAAAAAAGUGAGAGGGGAGUCACAUACACAGAAACAAUGAGUACAAGAGUGAAACAAACAUACUGAAGGAUCAUGGUCAAAAUCAGCUAAUGUGAUAGCACCAAAGAGUUAAUCAUCCUGAUCCUGAAAAGUGACUAUUUGAUGUGAAUCUAUAGAAGACACUUCUGAAAUGUCAAUCCGGACGGUUAUCUUGAUAUUAUCGCCUAAAAUGGGUCACAGUGGUUGAAACAGUAGGUUAUGUUGAAUAUUCCAAUUGACAGCAAACAUUAAUUUAGUAUGGCCACAACACAUUAAGAACAUGGCCACAAAGGCAAAGUCUCAGGAUUGUCAAUGUUUUUUGUCCAGGUUUACAUAUCUCUGAAAAUGCACCAAGCAGGGUUCGUAUUUGCCAACAAGAUAACGAGUAAGGGUUGGUCAAAAUAAAUAAAAGAGCUAAACAAUACUAGCAUUUCUACUUUGGAAUCAUGGAAACACUUCUUGCAACCAAAAGAUCAAACCAGGAGAGAAAAUUGUAAGAGCAAAAGCACCAUGGCAUAUGGACAAGCAGCUAACAAUUGAAAGAUCAAAGAAACAGAAAUCCUACAACAUAGAGAUGAAGGAUCUGGUUUCUCUUGCAAAGACUAGUAAAGGAAGAAGCAAUAAAUUCAAAAGAUACCUGGUGAGACUCUGAAACGUGAAAGUAAAGUGAUGAGGAAACUAAUAUAAUCUGCACUCAAGAUAUUUCCAGCUUUGCAGACUGAGUGGAGAACCUCUAUUAUCCGAAAAAGUAAAAAUGGCUCCAUAUUUUGACCUGCAGUAAUGUGGUGUAGUUGGAGCUAACAACUACAACAUCAUUUUGAAGAGAAGAAUAGCAACAGAUAGCAGCCAGUGGAAACAUCAUGCAUGGAAUAGAACAACAACAUAUUUCAGUUCAAAGUUUAUCUAGCUCAAUUGAUAUUCCACUUCCUCCUCCUCUUUUUAAUGUUUUAUUUUUUGGGCAAAUGAGUAAAGCUAAGUACUUUAGCUGUCUCAUUCUGCACAUGGUCUCAAUAUUUGUCCACGGUGAUUAAUCCAUGAAAAGUUUACAGAAGCAACAUAAGUGUGGUCUAUAACAAUGAUUGGUGGGAUUCUGUACUUAAAAUACAGUACUCACAAUAGAAAACCGUAACUUAGCGACUUAUUGUACACUCCUAAAUUGUAUGAUUUCUGUAUUCUGCAAUUAUCUCCCUUAAAAGUUUCACCAAAUAUUUCGAGAACCUAGAUACUGAUAUCUCAAAGAACCUCAAGAGCCUAUAUCCCUAUUUGAAGAUUCAGAACCAAAGCUAUAAAAUAUUAAUCAGAGGAAGUAUCUGGAUUGAACAGUAGAUUACAACUGUGACAAUGUUAUACUAAAUAGGGAGUCUAAACCUUGCAGCAAAGCACAACCCCAUGUUUAACUGUAAAUUUGUGGUUGAUAUUAGCUAGAAGCCUUUGUAGCAAGGAUGGACAUCAAGAGAUUCACACACACACACAAAAACAAAAACCAUCGCCAAGUAUCAGACAUUAUCUUACUUACUUAAGCAACACAAUACCAAUGACUGAAGCAGCAUUGGUUUCAGGGAGGAGAAGUAAUACAGACAACACAGAGAAAGUUCCUGGAUAUCCUGAGGUAGACUCGUGAAUGGCCCAUAGAAUAUACUUCCUGCAAUAGAACAAAGACGUUGAUCUAUGGAUGUUUAAAAUGGAGGAAAGAGAGAACCAGAACAAGAAAUUUAAUCCUUACCAUCAUUUAAGUGUGUGCUAUAGAAAACUGCAAGUUUGCAUUGCAUUUGAUCAUACUCCUGACUGAACGAAAAGCUCAAUUUAGCAGCCUUUCCUAUAAGUAGCAGAAGUCGCAACACAGCCUGCAAGAAUAUAUCUUAGUGGUAAAAGUUAAAGUUGAAAAUCAGUACAUAUUAUACAAUUGAAGAAUGGAUGAUGAGACUUCAAUAGCUCUCGAACAGCUUAAAGCAAGAAAAGAAAGCAUAAACUACAAAAAUAUACCUUUGAACAUAAGGGGUUCUUAUCACCUAAGACCAAUAGCAGUUGAGGAAGCUCCCUAAUCCAAAUGAGCUGAUAGUCUAGCAAUUCAGGAUCUCCUGCAACCAAGUAUAGCCAGCCCUUUUCCUAUCAGUCAGCAGAACAUUUAUGUCAGUGGAAUUUGAUGUAGAGCCAUAAAAAAAUCUGCCAAUUCAACAAUAGCGCCCCCCUCGCCCCCCCCCCCCGGGGGGGGUGUUGGAUCAGGUGCCCAAGCUGAAACUCCAACUUGACUCCAAGGUUAGAAGAAGAAAUGAAAAAUUACAAAAAAGGACAGAGAAGAGGAGCUAUAUUAGUAUGAUGUGAACUCAAGAAUGACAAAUAUUUUCCAAAAAGCACAAUAUUGAAAUCUUACAGGAUCAACCACAUCUCCAAGUGCAGAAAGGCAAGCCAAUUUCAUAGAAGACUCUGGCCCACAGUUCUUAAAAACCUCAGUGAAUGCCUGCAAAAACAGUGCCAGAUGUUAAAACCAACAAUUAAGGACAUUCUGCUUUUUUAAAGAUCAGUGCUGUCCACAAUAACUACAGUUCACAAAAGCUCAAAGAGAGUAGUUUAUUAAGAUAGAGAACUGAAGUGAAGGUAAGUUGUGAAUAUGCAGUUUCUCAGUCAUACUAACUAAAGGUUUCAAAAGAAAUCUGCAAACCUGUAAAAUACGAGAUCGCCAUGCACCUGAAACUUGCAUAAAAAUCUUUGGAAUGAACGGUACAAGCGGAAGCAAGUGCUUCUCACGGAACACUCUCGAUUGUGGGCAAUUGGAUAACUGCAGGGAAACACAUCGUACAUCAAAUACAGCAUAAUCAAAUACUAUUGAUUACACGACCAGCAACAUCCAUUACGAUUUCAACUCUAAUUUAUUAAAGAAUUCAAUACAACGAAAAUAUGAAUAAAACCCAAAAACUCUUGCGUGCAUAUAAAAGGGUGGAAGUGAAGAAACAUGAUAUCCCACAGAUAGUGUGAUAGCUACAGCUAUAAGCAGAGUUCUGAAACACAGGGUCUUCAAGAAUGUCUUCCUAUUCAAUCCAUAAUUGAAUCUUUUGAUAAGUAAAUCAAUAAAAAGAUUAUGCAUGGGGAUAUGCUAUUCAAUCAGUGUACAAUACAUAAGGCUAAUUGCCAAAGCCGAUUAUGUUUCACUUUAGAAAUUACACUUAUUAACCUACAAAAUCAAAGACAGCCAGUGGAACUAUUUCAUGGCAUAUUUCAGAUAAAAGCUUUUUUUGCUUUUAAAAAAAAGUCGAUAUAAUCACAAGGAUAAGAAGUGAAAAAGUAACAAUAGAUGAAUUUGAUUGUAGUAUUCAGCUUGACUUCAUCUCAGUCGUGAUGGCACAAUCAAAACAUGCAAAUGUCAUGUGGAAAACAUCAAACAGAUUAUAUAAGAAAAGUCCAAGCAAAGGACCUUUUCAAUUAAAGAACUUUCAAUGAACCCCAGAAACUUCUCCAACAAAGCAGGAGGAGGAUAACUCCACUCCCUUAGCUGCAAAAAUAUGUCGCUAAUUAUGGCAUUUAGUGCAAGACAUCGGUCAUCAUCCUGCAGUAAGAAAACUCAACAUGUGAGAGUAAUUAUGCCAUGCAAAAAAUUUUGAGCUAAAAGCGCAAAACCUAUGCAUGCUCUAACAUCUAGGAGAAACUAACUAGGAAAAGCAACAAGAACACUAUAAAUCCAGGUCAGGAAAUCAACUCUACAAACUACAAUGUAUAAGGGAUGACAGACACCAGAGAGAAAUCACACCUUAUCUGAAUUGCGAUGAAUUAGAUUUAGAGGGAACAACUCCCACAACUUCUUAAAUAUUGCAGGUGACAUAAAGUGAUCUAAUAUGUCUGCAUCAGGUCCUCUUUCAUAAAGAGAAGGAACAUACUGCCAACUUUUUUCGCCUUUGUUCAUUUCAAAAGCAAAGAAUUUGACCACAAUGUCUAUGCUUUGAAGAAUGAAUAGCACACAAUCAAAGGAUUGCACAUCCAAUAAUUGCAUAGUAUUGUUCGAUGACAUGAAAUCCACGAAACAACUAACUAGAAUUGGGAGAAUAUCUUUCAACUUCUCAAUAAUGCCCGAACGACCUAAAAAUAAUAGAUAAAACAGAGGAUUGUGUAAACAAUCUCCUCAUAACAUUGAAAUAUAAUCUGAAUAUUUGAAAACGACAAAGGAAAGGAGAAUAGAAUUUGUUAAAAUUGUAUGAAAGAUGAAUUGGAUCAGAAGAGUACUGGUUGUGCUUUGCCUCCAUGCCUUUAUAACAACUUUUAUUUUUAGAACAACUUAAAUCAACAGUAAGAUAACAUUUACAAUAUUUAAAAUAAAAUAUCUUGCCUGGUGGCGUGCACAAAACAUGGCUAGGCAGGGAUUACACAAGUGUAAUGGCAAAUGCCACUGAAGUAUCAAAGCUUUAUGCUCUAGUUUUUCUCCUCAAAGUUGAGCAAGGUCAACUUAAAACAACUUAAAAAAACAAAGAGUUAAUAUCAAGAUUUCUUUGGAAUUGAAAAACUUUAUAGGAUGACAGAAAACAUGGCAUCUUUUCAUGGGCAAUAUAUUAAUAAAACAAAAGGACUUUUCUGAGGGUGGAAGUAAAAAGAAGGUAUUGUUGGCAUACUGGCAUCAACCUAGAAAAGCGAAUACUCAAAGUCCUAGUGUGCAUUUUUGUUGAUUACAGUCUAAAGAGUAUAGUAACACAUUUUCCCUUCUCCUAAAUCUUGUUCUUUAUCUAAAAUUUGUCCUUUGAAAGCAUGAGCUUGUGUAACCAUUUCAAAAAUUUAGUGACUUCCAGAAACCUUUGCUUUCAAGAAUUUCAACAAUCUAGGCAUCAACUAUUGUUUUUCUGUAAAUAACAUUUCUACAUUACUCUUGAGAUGACCCAAAGAGCUUAUAGUUUCUAUGCAGGUUUAUCACAAGCAUCAAUAUAACCAAUAUGCAACAGGUUCCAUCACAUGCCAUUAGAGCCUUUCAAGUUUUAGAUCAUACGUUCAAAAAACUUUAAGCUUAACCUCCAGAAUUGCAUGCCUAUAAGUUUCGAAUAACACAUAAUUAGUGCUCUUCUUAAGGACACACCACAACCAGUAAAAAUUUUUAGUACAGUUUCUUAACAUUUUGAUGGUAAACAACAGGUCAAUCUCCAAGCCAAAGGCCCCACACACUUUAUAAAGGCUAAACAUCAAGAAAAAUAACAUUCCACUUACCAGAACAAUCCUCAACCAAAUCAGGCUCCAAUGCAUGCAGAAUCCCAUGGGAAUGAACUUCCUGCAAGAUUUAAAUGUAGAAAAACAAUUGAUGAGCACUUACUUCAAGCAAAAGAUUUUACUGCAGGACAUGUAGGUACAAAGAACAAUGGAUAAUGCCUAGAAGAAAAAUGAAAAAUAGCUAAGAGCACAAAAAGCCAGAGAGGAUGGCAACUCUUCGUCAACGCAAAUCCUAAUUGAUGAAAAUUUCUUCACUGUCUACAUGGGAGUGAUCAAAAUUGAAGAAGCUUUUUAAUAAACCAUCUGUUGUUUCAGUGACAAUUUUCAUCUUUACUCUUCUAAAAUAUGAAGAAUCCACUACAAACAAAUAGAAACCUAUAAGUGAGGUGGUUGUUCUGAAUAAGAGCUUUCUCAUCUCAAUUUAGAUACGCUCUUUGUGACACAAAAUUCUUAUGCAUUCAUCUGUUGGAGACUAUAACAUGCCAAUUUUCCAGAAUCCAAAAUACAUUUAAAAUAUAUGGAAGUAAAGGUUGAAAACCAUAAGGAACGUAAAUCUGAUAACCUGAUGAAAACACAAUAUUCUAAGUCGAACUAGAAGACAAAUUAUAAAUAAGCACAAAAUAAUACUCCUGGCAAUAAUAGAAAGGAUACAUUUUUCACACAUGACUCAUCAUCUUUCUCACUACGUGGCAACAGUGUCAAGCAGUGAACUAAACCACCAAGGAUGGUUUUUAGCUUGCUCUUAUCCUGUAAAUGAAAUUGGCUCCUCUGCAGAAUAUCCUGAUAAUUCUGGAGAAUCUGCAAAUGAAAAUACAGUUAAAGAAUAGCUAAAAACAGCCCUCAUAGAUGAAGCACAAAAACAACAAAAAAAUAAAAAGCUAAGGUACCAGAACAAAGUAAAAAAAAAAAGGGUAACUGUUAAAAAAGGAAUUGAAGUAGAACCAUUUUUAUAAUCCACAGGCAAUGAUGGAAAACUAAAUCAGAUAAGGAAGUUACAUCCUUCAACAUCCAUUUAUGUAACUGCUGAAUGAACAAAGAUAUGUUUCAUCUGUUCCAGAAAUCUGGACAGUAUUUUACAUCACUUUAGGGCAAGGAAAAAGCUAAAAGAAUAGUCAGCACAUAAUAAUGAAGAAAAACUUCCAACUUCAAACGUGGUAAAAACAAACAUCGCAUAAAAAUAUAGCAAUACAUAGGCAUAAAAGCAAUAUUCACUCAAGGAAGGACAGAAUAAAGAUCAUGGACAAUAUUAUAGGAGGGAGAUUUCUUCAAGCAGCACCAGGAAAAAUUAACAAGAGACAACCACCAAUGGUCAACUUUUAAUUAUGAACGUACUUGCCAUUCCAGACAGGGAGAAAUGAGUACAAGUAAGAUUUCUUAGAACCUCUAUCUUUCAAGGUCCUAACAAUAAGAAUUAUAUAUAAUUUGUGAAAUAUACAAGUGGUAAAAGUGAAUUUACUUCAGGAAUGAAAGAAUUUCUGUUAUGGCUAUACUUAUAAAACAGAGGUUUCUUUACGUAGCACAAGGAAAAUAACUAAGAAGCAACCACCAAUAUCACCGAAAGUGACUGACUUAAAGCCAUACAUACCCACCUUCUCAGCAUAAGGAGAAAAUGCAGAUGGAUGAUGCUGGAUAACAAGGUCAAAGAAUCUGAAAGCCAUCAAGCGCACAUCUAUAGCCAAGUGCGUCAUUGAAUUGAAAAUAUAAGCCAUCAUCAAGGAAAUGAAUGGCCCUUGAUUAUCCUGUACAGAAAAAGAACGUGGACAUAUAUUUUUAAAAAUUCAUAAGCUGCAACCAUCACUUGGAAAUACAUGCGCCUUUAAUAUACGACUUAGACAUACUGCAACAAAAUUUGCCAAUCUCAUUAUUGUUAAACAUGUGUGAAAUCAAAAGCAUAUCAGAGAUUUGGAAAGAAUGGCAGAUAGGAGAACAAAGAGUUGGUGCAACAAAUUUGAAGUUUAACAAGGGAGAUUCAGAAAACAUUCCCCAGCCUGCAAUAGAGGACAAUAUAAUUGACUUGCCUAACAAGGCCUAUGCAACCAAAAAGAAAAAGAAAAAUAAAAAGAGAUGAGCUGAUUUACCCAAAACAUCAACUAUGAAAAGAAGCUGUAGAGGGGGGAGGACACUGACUUUAAUAUAAUAGUGAACCUGAAAGUAUAAUAUGAAAGCUACCUAUAGGUUCACUAAAUAUCCUUAAUAAUAGCAUGACAAACAAUUUCAAGAACCAGCGUCACAAAAUUUACCUGCUUACAGUUGGGCAAUAUCACUGACUUAAAUAAUUGGUAAAGCGUUUCUCGGACAAUUUUAUCAUCAUCACUGAUGCGUUCACGCAGUUUCUCUAUAGUAGCAAGCUUGUGGAGCUUCAACUCAGCAGGAUAUUUAAGAAAUAUAUCCCUAAUACCAAUCAAUGCAUCUGGAGAGGUUAAAAAACGGAGAUCAAAAACUCCUUGUUAAUUGUAACCGUUACUUCUCAAGAAGAUGUAGAGAUUAUACAAGACAAAUAAGUGCAUAACUGGUAUUUAACACACUGUUUCACUUGGUGAAUAUUUAGCAACUACAUAGCCCCAGAACAGGGUAGGACGGAGACUUUGAAAAAUGCAAUCCAGGGCGCAUGCAUGACAAAACCAAGUUUGAUAUACUUAGUUGAACCAAAUACAUAUCAUCCUUAAAAGGAUGCGAGAUUUCUGUUAAAGCACACGAAUAAGACUAAAACAGAUUGCAAUUACAGGAUGAUCCCAUAAAAACUCAACAGCAAGUAUUAUCCCCAUUGCACAUGGAUCUCCUAAUAACAACUACAAUUUUCAUUUCUGUACCUUCUACACAUGUUAUCCUCUUUUCACAUUUCUCUUGAAUCAAUAACCUUUUUUGCCUAAAUAUCCUCCAAUUUUCCACUCCAAAAGUUUCAACCUCAACCUUUUUUUUCACAACCCUGUUGAUUCAGGUUAUAUUAACAAAGAAAUCACCUUUACGAACUUUUGCAUUGUGAUGACUUGUUUGUUGCAGAAGCUCCUUCAAAGUCAAACCCUUUUUACUCACAGCUAAACCUGCCUUAUCUGACACUACACUCUGCUCCGGAAGAAUAAUCGCUGCUCAUCAAAGAAACCAACAGCUACGUCAUCAACAUUAGGUCCGUAUCACAAUGACAUCAUGAAAUUAGCUAAAAAUAUGAAAGGAGAAGCUUUUCCAACUAAAAAGUUAUUAUUCACAUACCAAGAGCAAAACCCAAUAAAACAAAUAGUUUCUCAAAACCGAGUAAAUUUUAAUCAUAUAUUUAACAUGAACUCAACCGAUUUAGUUCCAGUAACAAUGGACCAUUUGUGCUACAAACGCCAAGUACAUAACCGCAUAAAAAAUUGUAUUACAAACCAUGAAAGCAACAACAAAUACAUUCGAAAGCUAAAGAGAAGCAUUGGAUUGAAAAACCGGGGUAUUGUUCUUUGUGCUAUACCUUUAGACUUGAUUUCUGUAUUGGUUGCAUUUUUGGGCGGCGGCAAUUUUCGACCAACUUUUCUUUUUAUUUUCUACAAAAAAAAAUGGAUGAAUGAAAUGAGCGUGUCGAAAUUUCACAUGCAUCAAUACUUUUCCUCAAUUAUUAUGCACAAGAAUUUACCAGCAAUAGAAGAUUAAAUUAGCUACCUUGAAGUCUAUUCCCCCACGCUUUUGCUGUUUUUUGGAUUGAGCCUUCUGCUUCACCAUUUUCUUUUUUUCCCUUCUGUUUCUAGUUCCAAAACCUCUUCAAAUCUUGCAUGACCAUUAAUGGGUUAUGUCUAGGGUUUAAGCAUCACUGCAUCACAACUUUCACAAGGCGGGUCUUGUUGAUAAAAGUUUCUUGAUUUUUUUAUUUUUAUUUUUCUAUCAGGAAGGUUUCUUGAAUACUGAAUACUUGAACGUUCCUAUAGCUGAUGUUGGUCGGGAGCACUUUAAAGUCCAAUCCAUAAUGCUGAUGGGUUUUCUCCUUUCACUUUUUGUCCGAACUGGCCCAAUCUACGAUCGAAAUUGACGAUUGGGCUUCAGAGAAGAGUGGUGGACCCUAUUUUCCUGAGGACUGAUACAAUUUUGUUCAACAUGGUCAAGAACCGAGAAUUGAGACACAGACAGCGGGCUUUGACAGAAGAUUUUUUUUUAAGUAUAUAUAUAUAUAUAUAAUAAUAUUACAACACUUUGACGAUGUGAUAUAUAUAUGAUAUGAAAAAAUAAUUGAGAAACAAAAAAUAUAAUUAAAAGAUAUAUUUAUGAUACAAGUAAAAAAUAUUUAUAAAUAAUUACUAUCCAAACACACCUUAGUAUAUACAGUGGCUAAGAAAAUUUGGGAGGCUCAAGCAGAGAUGACUUAUUUCCUUUUGUUUUCUUCUAGUUCUUUACCAUAUUGCCCAUUCUGGGAUGGGUUGGAAUAGAAUUUCCUAAAUUUUUACAUGGAAGCGACUGAUGGCACCAAUCCAUGUAUAGUAAAUAUUGGGAAAUUUGUCAAAUUGGUUCAUAACAUUUUCACAAAAAAAUAUUUUUUGUCCCGAACAUUUAAAAUCAGUCAGAAUAGUUCCUCACAUAUAAAUUAUGAGCCAGUUUGGUCUUAAUGCUUGUCUUUAUUCUUUUUUCUGGCUAAAAAUAGCACACCUACAUAUUUUUAAUAGCAAAAUUGAAAACAUUCGUUAAUCCAUAAUUUUGCAUCCCUCAUACUCUUCUACCACUUAUUCAAUUGGUUCUCAACCUCCUGCAACUAUGGUGGAGAAUUAACAAGAAAAAUUGAAUGAAAAGACAGAAAUAUCAAAGACACCAAGAAAAAGUUUCAAUCUUGAACAGAAGAUUAAUGGGAAAUCUACUAACGUGGCCAUAGGCUAUGACAGCAAGGUCAAUCAUGAGUUGUCCAUAAAGAGGACAUCUAAAUUCCUGAGGUGGAAGAGUAAGCAAAAGGCUUUGUGGGUUGGAAAGCUCCGACUUCAAUUCUUUCAAACAAGACAGAGCCUGCAUGGCACGAUCAGCGCCUUCCAAUGCAUAAUCAUCUUCUUCCACAAUACUCUGUACCAAUAUUUGCAGUUCCCUCUCGAGUUGUUCUACUGUAGUUUUUGCAUCCAAAACCGCCCAUUUUCUGUUGUUGUCUUGGCCAUCUUUUCUACACCACCACAAAAUAUGAAAAUACAAAUUGGGAACUGGGAUUUGAGCAAAAAGAAGAAUGGAAACUGCACUUGGAAUUCAAGAAUAAACAAGAAGAAGAAAUUAUGAAGUAGCAGUAGGUUGAGAACCAAUUGAAGAAGCGGUGGAAGAGUUCAAGGGAUGCAAAAUUAUGGAUUAACGAAUGUUUUCGAUUUUACUCUUGAAAUUAUACCAAUGUGCUAUUUUUAGCCGGAAAAAAAGAGCAAAUACGAGCAUUAGAACCAAAUUGGCUCAUAAAUUAUAUGUUAGGAACUAUUUUGGUUGAUUUUAAAUAUUAGGGACUAAGAAAGUUUUUUGUGAAAAUAUUAGGACCCAAUUUGACAAAUUUCCCGUAAAUAUUUGUACCAAUUAUUUACAAGCAAGCUCGUGUGACUUCGCAAUUAUCGUCAAUGGAGCUGGUUUUGCUCAACGCUCAUUGUGCUUUCUUUUCUUAACGGACGGCUUCUUGCAUUGGUAUAUUGUAAUCAUCACUUUUCUACCAAGGCACACCAUAUUCACUACCAAGGCACACUUUUCUUGCACUGUACCUUCACUCAUUACUAACGGCGGAGACUAUUGUCAUACUGUAUAUUAUUAGGAGUGUAAAUGAAUUUAAUCAAAUCAAACACCAUAAUGUCAAAACUUGUCUGAUAGGUUUAACAAAAUUAAAAUUUUGUUUAGGUUUAACUUGUUUAUUUACUGAAUCAAACUUAAAGGUUUAGCUUUUUGUUCAAGGUAUACGUAUGUAUAUAUGUAUGUAAAAGUAUAUAUUAUUCUAUAUAUAAAUAAUUGAAUAACUGGAACCUACACUGAUGAAUUAAUGCACAUUAAUUUUGGAUGAUCGUAAAUGGAUACCCAAUUAAAAUCUAUUUAAUUGGUAGGCAGUGAGUUGACUCGACUCACUCAUUUAUGCCUAUUUAAAAAUAAAUAUAAAUUUAAACUCAAUUUUUAGUAAGUGUUAAGCAAAUAAAUUUGAAUUUCUUACCAAUCUAAUAAUAAUAAAAUAAUAUGUUAUUACUUGUCAAGCAACAUGCAAAAUUUUUUUUUUAAGUAGAAUUUUAAGUGACUUAUUAUUAGAUGAGUAAUUGGAUAUAACCAUACCCAUUUAUUAAAUGGGUAAAAAUGAGUACCUAAUUAAUACAUGAAUAUGAUUAAAUUGACCCAAUUAUACCUCUUAUCCGAUAAUGAGUACCUAAUUACGAUCCGUCAGAAUUAUCCAUUUUGACAUUCAACUUAUCAAACACAGUCACGGCAUUUUGAAACGCACUACUAGAAAACUAGUGGAGGAUGAUGAAGCAAUUUCCACGUCCCGUGCUUUUAAUUAGACGAGUGACGCUCGCUUUUUUAAGUUUUUAACUAACAGAUAAAUAGGCCAUUCAUUUUACAUUUGGAUGAAGACAAUAAUGAUGUGAGGCCAUUGUUUCAUUAUAAAGUCACAAGGAUUAUCAUAAAAUUAAGGGCGACGACUUAAAUUGAACGCUAGUCAUGUAUGGCCUGUGAAUCUUAAACAAGGAUUACAUUUGCCAUGCGAUGGUGACGUCCACGUUCUCCUGGGUAACUACCCCGACAUAGACGCGACUGCGAACAUCUGAUCUAAGAUUAAGAUACGAAAAUUAAAAUUCAAUUGUCAAACUGAUGCUCAUGUUGGCUAACUUCAGAUGAUUAUAUGUUUUUUUAUAAUACAUCAUUUUAGAGUCUGUCUCUGUAAUAUCAUCGAUAAAAUAAAGAAUUAAUUUUUUUAUAUAUUGACAAUAUAGUGAAUUUUUUAUAAGAAUAACUACGGAUAUUAUAUCACAUACGUAUGAUUUAAAUUUAUAUUACGUGACAUGAUCUAAACAGAAGUACGGGGACCACCAAAAGAUAAACCGGAAAGAUAACUAGUUCUACUUCAAUUCUAUAUAUCAACAUCUCACGAAAGGGGAACUGUAGAGUUACAUAUUUUUGUUACACAGAAUUAACAGGAGUAGUAAAACAUACUGUCAAACAAUAUUUAGAACAAAAAGCAAACUACCUGCCAUCAGCUGAAGUAAAGGACUCGGCAAAUCCAGCAGGCCUUGAUGGUAUGCUACCCUUGCUGUCCUCCACGUCCAAAUAACUGCAAUCCUUUCCUUCAGCCUCUUGCCACCCCUUAACCAUUUGAUUCAGAGGAAGACUGUAAUCAAUUCCACAGUAUUCCUCUGUAUCAUCAUCAAGUGGCUUCCAUUUCUCAACAAGAGAAGCCAGGACAUUUACAACAUGGCCCAUAUCAGGACGCUGGUUCGGCUCUCUGGCGGUACAAUGACCAGCAAGUUCAGCGAUAAUUGAGAUGCUCUCCAAUUUUUCCUCUUUGACAUCUAGAGCAGGGUCAAUGGCUGCCAUUAGCUUCUCUUCACUAGACUUGAUAUGCCAGAACCAUGCAGCCAAGUACUGGCUUUCCUCGGGUCUGUCCUCAUCAAGUGCCACCAAUCCCGUUAGCAACUCCAUUAGCACGACCCCGUAGCUGAAGACAUCCGCUUUUGUCGUGAUUUUGCCGGUCACUGAUCAUUUAAGGUAGAAUAUUGUACAGCAUCACAAGAAGUUAGACCAUUGAUAUAAGAAUUAUUAUCAGUGGUAGAAAAUGACGAUGUUAAAAAUCGGAAAAAGAAGAUAAAUGUCCUGCUCAACUAUAAACCAAAAUUAUUUCCUCUUUUAAGUAAGUUCAAUAGCUCAAUGGAUUUAUCAGCAAACAAAUUUUACAAGGAGGAAAUGGCAUGUUAAAUGCUACAAGCCAUUGCAGAACAAUAGAACUAUGUCGUCAACUAGUAAUUUGAAGCACCAAAUUUCAACACCAGUCCUGCUAAUCAAACUGGUAAACAAUCUUCGUUACCACAGCUUGAUAGGGAGUGAUGGCAUUAAAACAAUUAGUAAUUUCAUUUAAGGAACCAAGGAAGAUUGACUUACCAGCAUACUCAGGCGCUAGAUAUCCAAAAGUUCCAGCUAGCCUAGUCACCACAGACCUCUCUCCAUCAGGUGCGAGUUUCACCAAUCCAAAAUCAGAUACUUUUGCUCUAAAGUCAUCACCGAGCAGGAUAUUUGAAGAUUUAAGAUCUCUAUGUAUGAAGCUCUGAUGAGCUAGACUGUGAAGAUAUUCCAUUCCUCUAGCAACAUCUAACGCAAUAUUUAGCCUUCUUUUCCAUGAUAAAGGUUCUAAUUUCAAGCUCUUCCAGUGGAAAAGAUGCUUGCUGAGAGCCCCUUCGGGCAUAUACUCAUAUACCAAAAUUCUUUCAUUUCCUUCAAUAGAAUAUCCCAAAAGUGACACCAAAUGCCGAUGACGGACCUUAGAAAGGACGGCAAUCUCGGCUUGAAAUUCAUCCAGAGCCUUGCUACUAAGUACUCCAGCUUCCAUUCUCUUAACUGCAAUCUUUGUUCCAUCAUCCAACUCUCCUUUGUAAACUACUCCAAAGCCACCACGCCCAAGUUCAUUUUCUGGAGCAAAAUUUUUUGUCACAUUUCGAAGAACUUGGACCGAUAUGGUUAAGUUUCCAGCCUCGAUAGUAUGAGAAUCGCCACUGUUCCUACUGGCAGAACCACUUCCUGUCAAUGUAGAAACGCUUCUAUUGGUAUUGUCUGCAACGGAAAUCUUCACCAAAUUGUCGGGAUCGGAUGAAUCUCUUGGAUGAAUUACAAUAGAACUAGGAGCUUGGCAUGUAUCUUUUCUCUUUUUACAGUAACAAAGAAGUAGGGGCACAACCAAACAGACCACUAGUGCAAAAGUUGCAACAGGGGCUAAGACUGCAACUAACUUGGACUCACUCGGAUGUCCCCCUUGGUUAGAAUUUUUGGCAGGGUUACUAGAACUAGAAUUUGAUCCUUUUGUUGAUGGAGAAGAGGGAAUUGAGGUUUGCGAACCUUCUGGCGAUGGGGUACUACUUGAAGGACUAGGACUUAGCGGUAAAUUUCCCUUCAGGUUAAGGUGUACAGUGGUACUAAAGUUCGGCCAAGGAGGGGAAAGAUGGUUGUUACUCAAAUCCAACAGCAUCAAGGCUUUUAGUUCAGUCCAAUUUGAUGGAAUUUCUCCUGAAAGAUUAUUCGACCCCAGAUAUAUAUGAGUGAGAGAAUCAAGACUUGCAAUUGAAGGACUCAAGUUUCCAGAAAGGUUGGACUUGGCCAAGUUCAAGACGUCGACCUUUUUAUUGAAAUUGCAGCUCAAUCCCAACCAUGGCCCUUCACAUGGGUUAUUUCCUGACCACAAUUGAACAAGCCUAGGCGGGUAAUUCACCCCAUCGAGAAAUUCUAAGAGUGCCAUGACUUCAGGAGCACAGGAAACGCCCGCACUUGUUUGGCAAAAUGGAUUGGCUGAAUAACUAGCAUUAACAGCUUUGAACUUUGGAAUUGGACCCAUGAAAUGAUUAUUAUUCAAAUCCAGAUUAUUGAGUGGCAUACUUGCCAAGCUAUCAGGAACUAAUCCAACAAGAUCAUUAGUAUUGAGAUUGAGAUUUUGCAAAUAAGUUAAAUUGUUGAUGUCCUUGGGAAUUUUACCUGAAAAAUGGUUCCCAUGAAGCCACAGACUAACAAGUGAUCCCAUUGUUGCAACUAUAUCAAUUGGACCCGUCAUCCCCUCGCCAGACUGUUGAUUUAGCCAAAGAACCUUCAGGGUAGAGUCCUUGAAACUAGCCGGAAUACCGCCAGUAAUCCGAUUUUGAGAGAGUCUCAACACCUGUAAGGACGACAUACUUCCCAAGAAUUCAGGCAAAGAACCAGCCAAAUUACAGCUCAUCAAAGUAAGAUUAGUCAGUUGAGCUGAACUUUGCAAGUCAGAAGGCAGUGACCAGCCAGUUGAGGCAUUAAGAGGAUUAUAGUCCAAUGCCAUCACUUGUAAACUCACGAGCCCAUUGAAGAAAUCAGAAGGAAUAGUGUCAAACUGGUUGAAAUCCAAAUACGCGUAUCUCAACUCGGACAACCCGCUGAAAGACGGCAACUUUCCACUGAAUUCGUUCUGCUGUAGGCCUAAAUUUGACAGCUUGGACAGCUGAUUGAAAUUUUGGGGUAAGGUACCCUUCAAGCCUAAGCCCCUAACUUGAAUUUGCGAAACUCUGUUGCCGGAACAAAAUACGUGCGGCCAAUUUGGAGUACCGCAUGGGUCGUUGCCGUUAGCAGGCCAAUUCAACAGCUGAGGAUUCUUCAACCCAUCUCUGAACUGGUUGAGUAUAGCAAGGUCGCCGGGGUCAGUCACGCUAAAAGCAAGUGUAACAAUACAGAGAAAUAGCGCCAAUCCAAGCCUUUUCUUCUCAGCAGCCACCAUUGUUGAGCUCUGAAACACGGCUCCACAUGCAUUGAGCCCUAGAUGAAAAGCUUGUUAUAACUUCUAAUGGUGGUUCCUUGAAGAACCCAUCUCAAAUGUCGCAAGGGAAGCUUAGAGAUAACAUGCGUUUGGGAACACAAAAACUCUCAGACAGAGUGAGAGAGAAGCAGAGAAAGGACAACAGAGGGAGGGAAGGAGGGAUGAUUGGAGUGAGAAACACUACUGGCAGAGUGGUGUGGCGUAUAAUGCAGAGCAUAUGUUGCAAAGCAGAAAUCACAAGUACAUCUGCUGAAGCUUGAUUAGUACGUGAUGACCCUAAAAAGUGGAUCUGUAAUCGGAAAUUUUCAAGACUUCCGAUUAGAAUACUGGGGAAAAAAAACUCUGGCUUGAAAUUUGACUGGAAUUUCUCUGGCUUUUCUGCAAUGUCACGCACUCUGCUCUCGAUGUCAAACUCAAAGGGUAGAAAACAUUUAAGAGCGAGUAUACGUUUGCUGUUGACUGUUAUAUGCUCAGUUGCUCACAGCUGAGGAUAGAAAUGAAAGGAAGAGAAAGUUAAGUAACGAGAGAAAAGAAAUGAUUAUAAUGAAUGAAAAGAUAUUUUAAUGUUAUUUGAAAGUUUAUGAAGAAUAUGAUUUUAGAUACAUAUUGAUGAAUAAAUACUUCAUUCAAUAGCUUUUUAAAGAUAGAAUGAACAAUUUAAAAAUUUUUGUAGCCUUUCCAUAGUUUUCUUUUGCAUUCUGCCCGAUUUGGGAUGGAAUUUUUUUUAAUUAUAGCGGGUCACUUCUUCUUUUCAAAUCAACCGGAUUCUUUUUUUUUUCUAUUUCACUGUAACUCUCAAACGUGAAAAAUACCUACCUUUCUCUUUUCCUCUUUUCCUCUUUUCUUUUCUGCUCAAAUUUCAUCUCUAAACUAGGCAUUAGAGUUUGAAAGGCUCUUACUUUACUUUCUUUAAAAAAAAAAAUGACAAGGGUAUAUUUGUCUUUUAAUGGUGUGAUCAACGUAUUAACUGCAUUAUUUUGGGUUAGCGUAGUAGACAAGCAAUUUACAGUAAUUAAAUUCAACAUUCAUUGGUGUCCAGUCCCCUGUGGAAAAAGUUUAAUAUGCGUCGAUCACUCCGUUCCCCAAGUUCCGGAUUCUUGUCAGUUGCAUUCAUUUUCCCUCUGGCCCUCUCUCUUAUUCUUCUUUUUUUCUUUUUUCGUUUGUCCUUGGGAAAUUGUUGUGUGAUUUUUUGGGUCUUGUAUAUUGUAUAUUUAAUACUAGUUUGGUUUGUUUGGAUGGGGUAUUAUUUGAAAUAUUAUUUGGAAUAAUUAUUGUAGUAUUUUUUGUGAUGUGAUGUAUGUGAGAUAAAAAGGUGGUUGGGAAUAUAAAAAGGUGGACUGAAAAAUGUGUGUAUGAUGCAAGCGAAAUAUUAUUUGGGAUAAGUUUUGUAUCCAAACACUCCCGCUGCUCCAAAAAAUUAAAAAAAGAAAAAUUGAAAUAAAACUUGGUAUGUUGAGAGAGCUCGCUUGAUGGUUGAUUAUUUGGAAAUUGAAGCAUGCCAUGAUGAAUUUUCGUUUUGGAUUGCUGUUUUUCGUCAAAAAAUUACGUUAUUUUUCGUGAUUAUAUUUCUCUAUUAUUUUUUCCCUCAUAUAUAUCAAAUCGCUACAGCAAUUUUUUUAUAAAAAAAAUUAUGAAAAAUGCAAUCCAAAGACAAUUUUACUAGUUUUGUAGUCGUUGAAUUUUGAAUUUAACCUUGCCUUUCUCAUGCAUACAGCUUGGGGCGGCCAUAAUGAUGACAAGUGCACAAAUUGUUAUCAUAUAUGCAUUAAUCUCAAAAAAGUAGAGAUCAUAGGAAGUGACAAAAUCCCGAUUGUGAUUUACACAAUGACAAAACAUGUCUUCUUCCAAUUGGUCAACAUGUCUCCAUCUGGUUUUAGAACCAUGAAGUCCGACUAACGCAGAAAAGAAAAUGAAGAGGGCAACUAGUCAUAAGCUAAGUUAGACAUGUGGACUGGUUGUUGCGUGAUGUUUUGAAAUACAGAAGUAAAUGGUGAUUAGCCAAUCUUUUGUAUACAUGUGCUGAAACUCAAUAAAUGUCCGUAGGUUAGUCUGUGGAUUGCACGUAAUUAUGUGUCUUAAUUAAUUUCAUGGAUAGUUGAGUCAUCAACUUCUUUGGCACGUAAAGUAUGUAUAAAAUAAUCAUCUUUCUAUUCCUCUUGUUUUAAAGGUUGUAUGCAAACCGAAUUUCAGGUUGGAAGCCCUCUGGAAUUUUGAUGAUGAUUAAUGCUCUCGGAUAUAACUUCUUCCGAAGCUUGUGUGAACGUGUGUGUGUGCAUAUAUACAUAUAUAUGGUAAAACAAUUCGAGGUCUCCGUCUCUCUCGAAAUAUAUAGUUGUUUUUUAAUAAAGUCUCCACAGAGGAUGAUAUUAUCAUCCUGACAUAUAUAAAUUACACUUAAUUUGCAUAAGUACGAACAAGUAGAGAGUCACAUGCAUGCUAAUCACGACUUCACGGGCACGAGAAGCAGUCAAUCAGAGUAUAAACUGCCCAAUUAUUUACGCUAGUUUUUGUUAGUACUAGUCUCUUAUAGCUAGCUUGUGAGUGUAGGAUAGAAAAGAAAAGAAGAGAAAGGUUAAGUUACGAGAGAAAAUAAAUGAUAAAAAAAGAAGAGAAUAAAUUUUAAUGUUGUUUGAAAGUUUGUGAAAAAAAGGAGGUGAUUUUGGACACAUAAGUAAAUAAAUAUUUCAUUCAACAGCUUUUUAGGGGUAGAAUGGGCAAUUUAAAAAAUGUUUUGCUGCCUUUCCACGCUUUCCUUUACUUUCUGCUCGAUUUGGGUCGGAAAUUGUUUUUAACACUGUAGCUGUUUCUUCCUUCUUCCAAUUCCGUCGGUUUCUUUUCCUUUCCUUUCACUUAAAACUCUCAGAUGCGGGAGAUGCGGCCUUUCUCUUCUAUUCCUUUCUUUUUUGUUCAAAUCUCAUCUCAUAAACUAGGUAUUAAGAUUUUGUAGUUUAUUGUUUGUUUAUCCAUUUAAUCGGGAAAGUGGGGACUCACCCGAUAGGCGAAAGCCCUGGAACGUGACGCUUUAAAAAGCCAAACCUGGGAUUAAUGAAACAAUUAAUCGUGUCACGAAUAAUAAUCGCAAGUCAUGACUUGGAUCAGAAACAGGUCGUCUGAAUUUUUAUUAGGUAAUCGUCUAAUUGAGCAUACUUGAAUUGAAUUAUAGGUGGCAAAUCAACCCACUUAACUAAAUUUACCUAUACCCGUCCAUGAAUAGAUGGGUAUGAAUAUCUUAAAAUUUUAUAUACAGGUAUAAAUGAAUUAUCCAAUAAUACCCAAUUAACCCAUUUAGAAUUCUCUUCCCCCACCCAUUUUUUUUUUCAAAAUUUUCAUUUUGUCAUGAUGUUAACUACUUUUGUUUCAUUAUUAUUAUUAUUUAUUGGUUUUAUCUUAUUAUUUUAUUUUCUCUUAGUUUGUUAACUUGUUCAUUUUUCAGCAUUACCAAUUUAUGAUAAAAUUUAGCUUCUUUUUCUUAUUUUUCUAAAAUAAAAUUUUAAAUUUAUAUAUGCAAAAAACGUUAGGGGUUCAAAAUUUUUGGAUUAAGUUUUUAUAUUAACUUUUAUAGUACUUAGUUCAAAUUUUUACAUUCUCAUUAUUCAAUUCUUAAAUAAUAUGUAAUUUUGUGACAUAGAGUAUAAAUGGAAAAAAAAUUGGUAAUUAGGCUUAUUGAACAUUAUAAGUAAAUAUUUAAAACUAAUGAUGGGUACAAAGAGCGGUAUAAAUUGAUAACUUAGUUUGCAAAAAUGAAUUUAAAUGAGUUUACAAAAAGUUAAAAUAAAUGGGUUAUAAAUGGAUAAUUGGGUUACCCGAUUCAUAUUUUGACUUACUCAUUUAUACCCAUCUAAUAAAAUGAGUAAAAAUAUGGGUUGACUCACUUAUACCAAUUAUCCAUUUUACCCAACCCAAACCCGUCCAAGUUGCCCAUUUUGACACCUCUAAAUUGAAUCAACUGAAAUAAACGGAUCCUUUUAUAUUUUUCUCGCAGCAGGAUGAAAGUUUAACAAAUAAAGAAUUCCAAUUUCCAUAAAUUAAUUGGUGAGAAAGCACUUAUCAUCUGUGCUGUGGCAAUUGUGUUGAGCUGCCAAAAAUAAUCUAAACAAUUAAAAGAUUAAAGAAGAAAAAGUUCCUUUAAAAAGAAAAAUUUAACAGUCUCGAGAAUGAAACCAGGAUCCUCCACGAACGAGCAACCUGCAACCUUACCUAGUUUGCCUGUAAAAACACGUACAAUAGCACAAAGCAAGACCGUAUGUUCUUGCUUUAACAUAUUGAUUAAGUCCCGCAUUUAAAAAAAAAAAUAAAAUUAAGUCCCGCAUUCAUAUCCCAACAUUCCAUCGUUAUUAUUCAUUCCUAAGUAGUAGAAGGAUACUAAUAAGAUAAGAGGUUUUGAUGAUAGCACAAAAGGGGCUUGUACUCAGGAGAAAUUGGUUUUGCUCUCUCUCUCUCUCUCUCUGGCUCGAUUGUGUUAUUAUUAUUAUUAUCGGGCAAAAAUGGAUCACAGUCCUGAAAUUUAAUAGAAAAGUUUUUUCCAACUUACUUUAUUCUUUUAAUAUCUCCGUUACAUUACACAGAGGCGUAAUUGGAUUAGCGACGUGGAUGAACAGUGUAACAUUCUUUUUAUUAUGCACAGUGUUCACAUAAAUGGUACUCCCUCCGUCCCACUUUGAUAGUCAUGUUUCUUUUUUCACACAGUUUAAGAAAAAGUAGUUAACUUUGUUGGAAAAGUAAAUUUAGAUUGUUAUUUUCCUAAAAUACCCUCACAUUAAAUAGAGUACAACUUUAUGGGAACUUGAAUUGAUGGUAAAAAAGAAUCAACUCUCAUUAAAUGGGCUAGGUUUAUAGCAACAAUAACUUGUAUUAAAUAAGGAUAUUUUAGGAAAAUGAAAAUACAACUACAUUCUUCAAUUGGAAAGUGGACUGUAAUUUGGGACAGACAAAAAAAGAAAACAGGACUAUCAAAGUGGGACGGAGGGAGUAAUAAAAUAUGCAAAUGGAUCAUUUAGAAUUAGAAAACGUCCACGACGGUUAAUCUGCCCCGCAUCCGGCGUAAAGCUAGUGGCUAGCGAAAGGCAACCACAUCCGGCCACCAAUUGGUAAGCGUGAUAAAGAUACUCUUCAAAAAUAGAUUUGACUUGAUUUCAACGUCGCUGUAGCUGACCCCGAUUUCCGACGCGUUAACUUUUGUCACCCUUUUUCUUUUGGGAUAAUUUCACAAACUUGCCCUGAGGUACGCAACACUUGCAGGCAACCCCCCCAGGUUUUUUAAAAAGCACCUAUCUCCCCUGAUGGCUAAAAACAACAUGAAUUUUUAAAUUUAACAUCUCCAUGAGGUGAGAUAAUGCAUCUUAAAUUUAAUUUAACAAAUCAUUAAUAAACUAGAAAAAACAAAGAGCAGCAAGAGUAAUGGAUUCUACCUAGUCCUAACCAACCAAAUUACUUCAACCCAAUAUUACUCAAUAUUGUAGUAAUUUGGAGGGAAAAAAAAACUUUAGAUUUCUUCUAACAUAAGUACCUACUCAACUCAUAUAUAUGAUUUUUUUCCUUUUAAGGGUAGUAGGUAUGUGUGUUUUUGUUAUUAUUAUUUAAAAGGAAGAGGAAUGGAUUUGAUAUAUAACUUUCUUAAAGUAUAUGAAUAAUAUUUUUAGUUCAAAAUAACCAAGGAAUUCUAUGUAAUGUUAUAAAGCAGGUUUGUUUGGAUUGUAAGUUAUUUUGGAUAGUUUGAUUGUAGCACUUUUUGUGACGUGAUGUAUGUGAGAUAAAAAAGUAAUUGGGAAGAUAAAAAGGUGUAUUGAAAAUUGUAAUGAUAAUGUAAGCAAAUAAAAUUGGAGAAAUAAUGCUCAAUCCAAACAAACUUCAGGAUCAUCAAUAGAGAUACUUUGCUUACAUCAGCAAAGACCCAACUAAAUUUUUGAGGGAGGCUUCUAUGACUCUUAAAAUUUGAAGGAUGUGUGUGUUUGGAUAGGAGAUUAUUGGAGAUAAUUUUUUAAAAAAAUACUGUUUUAUGUUUUUAAUGUAAUGUAUAUAAAAUAAUUAAAAAAUAUAAUGAGAAUGCAAGAAAAUCAUUAUAUGUAAAUAAGGUGCAAUUCAAACAUCGCAAUAAUAUUGUCAUAAACCUCAGGGGAGGUUUGUGAAAUUAUCCCAUAUCAUUGACAUGAAAGCAAAAAUCUCGGCCUCACUGCAUAUGUGACCAGAUUUGUUGUCCCGACCAAGUAUGAUGAAUUGCCCAAGGAAGAUCCCGUAAAUUAGUAAUAUGGCCCGAUGGCGAUCCCACAAAAUAAUUUGUUGUCCAUUUGAGUGCUUUUAUUAUUGAGUUACUGUCCUAUUGGGCUUGCAUUAUUCUUGUCUUAUUUUAUGUUAAUCCCUUUCGGCCUUUUUGGCAAAAUAGUCUCAGACCCAAUCAAUUAAUGAAGUCGGUAACUUGGAGAGGCCAGGCGGUGCAAAGGUGGCUUUUGGUGCCGUAGCCAAGAGAUAUGGAAGGCAGUUGAGGUCCCAUAUCUAAGGAGAAAGCUUUUUGUCUAGUCUAGUGUAAAAAAGAGGCGAAGCUGAGUCCAAAGAAUCAAAAGUUAUAGGGCCCUUCCGUCACUUUCAUUAUGCACUAUGCCUAGACUUGAUAUAUUUUUUAUGUUCUUUAUUUUUUUAAAAAUAAUUUUUAACAUUCAUCACAAGAUAUCAGAUAUGUUUCAUUAGAUUUCCUUGUAUUAUUUGUUUAUGAUGAUGGUGGCGACGUUACCUAGAGUUUAGGGCUCGGCGUCUUAACGAAUCUCAACUUUCAGUAUAUUGUUCGAUGCUUGAUAUAUCUUUAUUUUAUGAUACGCUUUUAAACAUGUUCUUAUUUUUGGGGAGUGUAGGCGCAACUUCUUCGGUUCUUUGUAAUAUUUACGAGAGAGAGAGAGAGGGAGGAAACUAAAAACGCCUCAACGUUUAAUUUCUACAUUAUGGAGAUGAUAAUAAGGGAAGACCAUAUGCCAAAGAUGUUAUCAAGAAAUUAACCCAGGGACUGAACUUUCAUCUUGGAGUCUAAAUAAUAAGUAAGGGUGAUUUGAAGUAACGUUAGAAAUUAUUUCCCUUUUCUUUUUUUUUUCUUUGAUGUGCUUUUACACCGAGGUUGGUGAAGAAAAUGGUGGUAUUACGAGAUUGAGAUUCGAGGCUAAAGAUGCUCUUCUUUUCUUGUUCUCUUGCUCCCCACGGAGCCAUGCUAUCACGCUCUACCCUCCAAACGUGGAAGGGGAGCAAAGCAGAGACAGGGAGGAAGAGGUCCAGUUUGCAUUGGCAUGCUCCAUGUCAAUAAUACAAUUCCUUAUCAAUGUGAAAAUAGAUUCCCAUUUAAAGUGGCCACUUGUUCAUCAAUAAUUGAAGAGAUAUCUGAUACAACUAAGGCCUCAUCCAGAUAAUAUAUAUUACCAGCAUAUUGUUUUUGGCUGCUUUAGUUUUCCUCCUCAUUUCCUCAGUAGUCCCCCCAUUGACAGGAAUGAUAUGUUGGCUUCCAGCUAUAUGAUCUGCGCUAGAAACAAAUACUAGAUGCUACCAAGCCAAAGUGAACCUGCAUCCAGUGAUUCUUGUGCAUGAAGGUGACCGCCCUUGACUGACGGCUAAGCAGUAAAUACCCCGUCCCAUGCGGUGUCUGGAGAGAGAUUAUUGACCCGCUUGAAAACCUAUCUCCUCCCAGUUAUAUGGCCUGUUUGGAACCUGAGUUUUUUGGGAGUUUGUCUAAAACUUUACUGUAGUGUACUGUAGAAGUUUUUGGAAAAAUUUUUUAAGAUGAAAAAUUUUUUAAAGUUUUUUUAAGAAAUUUUUUGGAAGUUUUUUUCCUUUUCUUUUUUUUUUCCUUUUCCUUUUUCUCUUUUUUUUUCUUUUCUUUCAUUUCUUCUUCUUCUUCCUCUUUCUUCCCACUCCCCCUUCCCCCCCGGUUACUUCUGCGUUG